UACAUGGGGUGCAAACGUUGCUCGGAAUUAUUGGGCGUAAAGCGCGCGUAGGCGGUUACUCAAGUCGGAUGUGAAAGCCCUCGGCUUAACUGAGGAAGUGCACCCGAAACUGAGUAGCUAGAGUACCAAAGAGGGUCGCGGAAUUCCCGGUGUAGAGGUGAAAUUCGUAGAUAUCGGGAGGAACACCGGUGACGAAGGCGGCGACCUGGGUGGAUACUGACGCUGAGGAGCGAAAGCAUGGGGAGCGAACAGG
rnacentral:rRNA from 1 species